AGUGAACGCUGGCGGUAGGCCUAACACAUGCAGGUCGAACGGCAGCACAGUAAGAGCUUGCUCUUACGGGUGGCGAGUGGCGGACGGGUGAGGAAUACAUCGGAAUCUACUUUUUCGUGGGGGAUAACGUAGGGAAACUUACGCUAAUACCGCAUACGACCUACGGGUGAAAGCAGGGGAUCUUCGGACCUUGCGCGAUUGAAUGCGCCGAUGUCGGAUUAGCUAGUUGGCGGGGUAAAGGCCCACCAAGGCGACGAUCCGUAGCUGGUCUGAGAGGAUGAUCAGCCACACUGGAACUGAGACACGGUCCAGACUCCUACGGGAGGCAGCAGUGGGGAAUAUUGGACAAUGGGCGCAAGCCUGAUCCAGCCAUACCACGUGGGUGAAGAAGGCCUUCGGGUUGUAAAGCCCUUUUGUUGGGAAAGAAAAGCAGCAGGUUAAUACCCCGCUGUUCUGACGGUACCCAAAGAAUAAGCACCGGCUAACUUCGUG
rnacentral:rRNA from 1 species